AAGAAAGCGAAAACACUUUUCCUUUAUUUUAAAUGUCACUUGCUUAAUAUUUUUUGGUUUCUCUUUCGUAGCACUUUUGGAAUAGGAAUUAUUUUGCAAAAGACGCAUACAUAGCAAAAGGCCACCAUAACAACUUUCGAUCGAUUAUUUCGCAAGCUUAUCACGAAAACGAUACGUGUCUCUAUGUGGGCACAUAUAUACAGAUACAUCACUUAUACCUUAGUGUUCUAAUAUUAAUUGACGAUACGCAAAAUUUUCUUGGUAAAAAUCAUGUUUCUUAAAUUAUUUCGACACCGAAACAAGUUCCAAAGUUCACAUUUUGUCUAUAAGAAGUUGCUCUACAUUGGCGUACACGUGAUUUAACCCGGCAGGUCAGGACAUUAAUGAUCUGGUCGCGACUCCUCGUUUAAUUCCGCCAAUGACGGCGAACAUAUACAUACGCCUGCAUGAUGUUUGCCAAACGAUUACGUGAAAAUAGAGAAAACAACUGUGGACUUUGAACAUGCGAUCCGCCAAGAAAAAUGCAAGCUGGUUUCAUCAGGCGUAACACAUGUAAUUUAUGAUUCUGAUCAGAUAUGUGUAUGACGGUGCCGUCAAAUUGGAAUAAAUUGUCAAGAUUAUCAUAUACUAGAUCUAAACAAGGAUAAGAACAUGAGAACAGUUAAACCUUUGAAAAUUGUUGUUGAGAGUCUAAAGAGAGGUAGAGACGUAAGACCUAACUUGAUAAGGACUAACGUUGAUAAGGCACAUCGAAUUACGGGCAUAAGGAAAAACGAAUGUUUGUUCAUGGCGCGCAAGUUUGUCCGAUAUCGUGGUAGAGGGGCCAGCCAGUCUUCCAUUGGCAGAGUAGCUUGCCUGUGAUUCUGGUCGAUGCUGCUAAAAGCCGCGACGGAACCAGAACUACUAGUCGUUGGAGAGCAGACAAGUACAGUAUCGACCGUUCGCCCAACAAGCGGAAUUUAUUUUUGUCCGGAUGAGCACACUUGCGCUCUGCGUUGCAAUAUAGAGUGUAUUUUCUGAAACAAAAGCAGAAGAGCUGAAGCUGAAGAAUCGUUGCAUUUACGAGAAGUCUCGAGAAGCAGUAGCUGAAAUUUCUCUCUAGUACCAGCUGGCCGAAAACCUACAUAACAAUAGCGCGUCGUUCGUAGGAGAAAGCCGAAGAGGAAGAGAGAAGGAAGAGGAAGAGAAUUGGGGCGUAAAGCACGGAGAGUGUCGGAGCAAUCGACUACAGUGACCUCGACUCAAAGCCCAAAAUCACGAAGGCUCCAGAAUCGUAAAGCCAUCGAUGAGAUUGGAGCGAGGUGUCGCUGUUACUAUGUAAAUUAUCAGCAGGUGUACUCGGCUGCGCGCGCGCACUGUCGUCAACGAGCAACAUCAGCAGUGACAACAACAUCAUCAUCGAAAA